UAAAGAUGAAAGCAUGUAAUACCGUGGAAAAUGUAAUUGCUAUUGGCUUUGUGAAGGAUUUGAUUAGGAUGAAUUGGCAAGGAAGUGAUUCAAUGUUAAAUAUUGAAGACACUUUCUCUCUUAUGUCCAGGAGCUGUUCUGGAGGGUUAAAACAAGUAUGGCAUCUAAGAAGAACAUUGGCGGGCCAAAAGGCAAGGGCCCGGUGAAGAAAGCACCUGCUAAAUGCCCUCCCCCACCAAGUGCGUCUUUGGAUGAAGAAGAGGUUUUGACCCAGCUGCUGAAGGCGCUAGUUGCACGUAUUGAUGUGCUUGAGAGAGAAAAGGCAGUGGCUGCCACUAGAGAAGCUCAGC
rnacentral:lncRNA from 11 species